CAGCAGCCACGGUAAUACGGAGGGAGCUAGCGUUAUUCGGAAUUACUGGGCGUAAAGCGCACGUAGGCGGCUUUGUAAGUAAGAGGUGAAAGCCCGGAGCUCAACUCCGGAACUGCCUUUUAGACUGCAUCGCUUGAAUCCAGGAGAGGUGAGUGGAAUUCCGAGUGUAGAGGUGAAAUUCGUAGAUAUUCGGAAGAACACCAGUGGCGAAGGCGGCUCACUGGACUGGUAUUGACGCUGAGGUGCGAAAGCGUGGGGAGCAAACAGGAUUAGAUACCCCAGUAGUCCCUGUCUCUUAUAC
rnacentral:rRNA from 1 species